UACGUAGGGGGCAAGCGUUGUCCGGAAUCAUUGGGCGUAAAGAGCGUGUAGGCGGCCCGGUAAGUCCGCUGUGAAAGUCCAGGCUCAACCCUGGGAUGCCGGUGGAUACUGUCGGGCUCGAGUCCGGAAGAGGAGUGUGGAAUUCCUGGUGUAGCGGUGAAAUGCGCAGAUAUCAGGAGGAACACCAGUGGCGAAGGCGGCACUGGUCGGA
rnacentral:rRNA from 1 species